GAUGAAGAACGUAGCGAAAUGCGAUACUUGGUGUGAAUUGCAGAAUCCCGUGAACCAUCGAGUCUUUGAACGCAAGUUGCGCCCGAAGCCACUAGGCCGAGGGCACGCCUGCCUGGGCGUCACACGCCGUUGCCCCCCCAUCUACUCCUUCGGGAUUGCGGGGGGGCGGAUGAUGGCCUCCCGUGCGCCUAGCCGCGCGGUUGGCAUAAAUACCAAGUCCUCGGCGACGCACGCCCCGACAAUCGGUGGUUGCGAAACCUCGGUUGCCCGUCGUGUGCGUUCGUCGCGCAUCGAGGGCUCGAAAAAAUGCUCGGCUCCGGCUGGGCUUUCAACGCGACCCCAGGUCAGGCGGGGUUACCCGCUGAAUUUAAGCAUAUCAAUAAGCGGAGGA
rnacentral:misc_RNA from 1 species